UCAAGCAGCCGUAUCCUUAUAUACCUGAAACAGUUUUGCGGAGUAUAAAAUAACAGUUGAAGGCACUUCUGCCAACUUCACAGUUCACAUUUGUGCAAAGAAAACUUUUUCGUAUUUUGCCCCGUUUCCAGCUUUACUGCACGAUGCACGCAUAUGCCUGUGUUUUUGCCGCGCUGCUUGUGGCAGCAACCAUUUUUACGCCUGGAUACUCUGCCGAUGCAAAACCGUCCGAUUCUGCUAAGAAGCCGUGCAGGAUUGUACCGUGCGCCCUUCACUGUACACCUCCAAAAGUCCUGAGCUCCUGUGGAUGCACUUGUGUAAAUCCAUUUGGUAGUAAACCUGGCUCUGUGGAAGCUCCGUUUUAACUGCCCCCCGUAGGCCGUGGGCGUACAUACGAGUGCACUAUACCACAAUAUUGCUGGCAUCGACCGAAUGAUUGGGGCCUCUUCCUAAAAAACGUUAUUAAGAAAACGUUUCAAUGUACAGAAAUUAUGCAUAUAGUCAAUGUUCAAACAUGCGAAAAAACUAAUCCUGAUUGUAAAUUGCUGUCGUCAUGUAAAAAUAUGAAACUUAUGUCGCAACUCGCAAUGCUUAUGGACAAUA